rnacentral:misc_RNA from 1 species
GAUGAAGAAGGCAGCGAAAUGCGAUACUUUGUGUGAAUUGCAGAAUCCCGUGAACCAUCGAGUCUUUGAACGCAAGUUGCGCCCGAAGCCAUCAGGUUGAGGGCACGUCUGCCUCGGCGUCACAUAUCGUUGCCCAAUGCCUAUUGCAGUGCAAUAGGAAUUUCUAGGGCGAAUGAUGGCUUCCCGUGAGCGUUGUUGCCUCGCGGUUGGUUGAAAAUCGAGUCCUUGGUAGGGUGUGCCAUGGUAGAUGGUGGUCGAGUUAGAACGAUACCGAUCAUGUGCAUGCUCCCCAAAAUAUGGCCUCUAUGACCCACACGCGUCUUUUGACGCUCAUGACGAGACCUCAGGUCAGGCGGGGCUACCCGCUGAAUUUAAGCAUAUCAAUAAGCGGAGGA